rnacentral:rRNA from 1 species
AGAGUUUGAUCAUGGCUCAGAUUGAACGCUGGCGGCAGGCCUAACACAUGCAAGUCGAGCGGUAACAGGGGGUGCUUGCACCCCGCUGACGAGCGGCGGACGGGUGAGUAAUGCAUAGGAAUCUGCCCGAUAGUGGGGGAUAACCUGGGGAAACCCAGGCUAAUACCGCAUACGUCCUACGGGAGAAAGGGGGCUCCGGCUCCCGCUAUGGGAUGAGCCUAUGUCGGAUUAGCUAGUUGGUGAGGUAACGGCUCACCAAGGCCACGAUCCGUAGCUGGUCUGAGAGGAUGAUCAGCCACAUCGGGACUGAGACACGGCCCGAACUCCUACGGGAGGCAGCAGUGGGGAAUAUUGGACAAUGGGGGAAACCCUGAUCCAGCCAUGCCGCGUGUGUGAAGAAGGCCCUCGGGUUGUAAAGCACUUUCAGCGAGGAAGAACGCCUAGCGGUUAAUACCCGCUAGGAAAGACAUCACUCACAGAAGAAGCACCGGCUAACUCCGUGCCAGCAGCCGCGGUAAUACGGAGGGUGCAAGCGUUAAUCGGAAUUACUGGGCGUAAAGCGCGCGUAGGUGGCUUGAUAAGCCGGUUGUGAAAGCCCCGGGCUCAACCUGGGAACGGCAUCCGGAACUGUCAAGCUAGAGUGCAGGAGAGGAAGGUAGAAUUCCCGGUGUAGCGGUGAAAUGCGUAGAGAUCGGGAGGAAUACCAGUGGCGAAGGCGGCCUUCUGGACUGACACUGACACUGAGGUGCGAAAGCGUGGGUAGCAAACAGGGAUUAGA